CCUUUCGGGGGUACACGAGCGGCGAACGGGUGAGUAACACGUGGGUGAUCUGCCCUGCACUUCGGGAUAAGCCUGGGAAACUGGGUCUAAUACCGGAUAUGACCAAAGGCUGCAUGGUUUUUGGUGGAAAGGUUUACUGGUGCAGGAUGGGCCCGCGGCCUAUCAGCUUGUUGGUGGGGUAAUGGCCUACCAAGGCGACGACGGGUAGCCGACCUGAGAGGGUGACCGGCCACACUGGGACUGAUACACGGCCCAGACUCCUACGGGAGGCAGCAGUGGGGAAUAUUGCACAAUGGGCGAAAGCCUGAUGCAACGACGCCGCGUGAGGGAUGACGGCCUUCGGGUUGUAAACCUCUUUCAGCAGGGACGAAGCGCAAGUGACGGUACCUGCAGAAGAAGCACCGGCCAACUACGUGCCAGCAGCCGCGGUAAUACGUAGGGUGCGAGCGUUGUCCGGAAUUACUGGGCGUAAAGAGCUCGUAUGCGGUUUGUCGCGUCGUCUGUGAAAACCAGCAGCUCAACUGCUGGCUUGCAGGCGAUACGGGCAGACUUGAGUACUGCAGGGGAGACUGGAAUUCCUGGUGUAGCGGUGAAAUGCGCAAAUAUCAGGAGGAACACCGGUGGCGAAUGCGGGUCUCUGGGCAGUAACUGACGCUGAGGAGCGAAAGCGUGUUUAGCGAACAGGAUUACAUACCCUGGAAGUCCACGCCG
rnacentral:rRNA from 1 species